rnacentral:misc_RNA from 1 species
CCUAGAGUUGUAGGCUUUGCCUGCUAUCUCUUACCCAUGCCUUUGAGUACCUUCGUUUCCUCGGCGGGUCCGCCCGCCGAUUGGACAAUUUAAACCAUUUGCAGUUGCAAUCAGCGUCUGAAAAAACUUAAUAGUCA